GUAUGAAUCAAGGUUUCGUGUUGGUGAAGUGACUUGUUUAGAUGCAGCUGAUCUGCCUCUUCUUCAUUUAUCACUGAAAUCACCAUCUAUGACUCUUGAGAGGUCUGGAUUAUUUCCUACCUUUGAUCUUAUGUAUAUGUAUUCACGUUCCCACCCAAAUAGAGGCUUCUACCAGAUAUUGGUAGCUUUUAGGAUUUUACAGGUAUUUGACAAGCAACUUGCUCAAUGACUCUAUUCCAGAAUGGAUUAAGAACAGAGAUAACCGCUAUUUAGUACUCAUUGCAUAUAAACUGUGGUGUGAGAGCAACCACCGUUGGAGACAUCAAAUUCGAAGAUGAUACAGAUCUUGGAGGUGGAGCAAAAUUUGUUGAUGACUACAUAGCAAAUAAUGUAUCGACACUUGGAAUGGAACGCUAAGGAAUAUGCUUUGAUGCAAUGUUAAACAUAGCAACCCAUAUUGUAGCACACUAAUGUUUUUGUCCCCUGAUGCAAUGUUAAACAAAUAAUUGUCACUGAUUCAUGAUUUUGUGGAACAAUGACUAAUACGAAUUGUAUCUUAGUGGGUCUAAUGUAUUUUGAAGU